rnacentral:rRNA from 1 species
AACAAACGCUGGCGGCGUGCCUAAUACAUGCAAGUCGAACGGGGAAAGCUUUCGGGUGAGUACUAGUGGCGCACGGGUGAGGAACGCGUGGAUAAUCUGCCUUAGAGUGGGGGAUAACUAGUCGAAAGAUUAGCUAAUACCACAUAAGACCACAAGAUCUGCGGAUCAAGGGGUCAAAGGUUUUUCGCUCUAAGAUGAGUCCGCGUAAGAUUAGCUAGUUGGUGAGGUAACGGCUCACCAAGGCGACGAUCUUUAACUGGUCUGAGAGGAUGAUCAGUCACACUGGAACUGAGACACGGUCCAGACUCCUACGGGAGGCAGCAGUAGGGAAUAUUGCACAAUGGAGGAAACUCUGAUGCAGCGACGCCGCGUGAGUGAUGAAGGCCUUCGGGUCGUAAAGCUCUGUCGCAGGGGAAUAACACAAUGAAGGUACCCUGUAAGAAAGGAUCGGCUAACUUCGUGCCAGCCGCCGCUGUAACAC